CGGCAACAGCUCAAAUUUGAAAUCUGGCCCCCCCCCCGGGGGCCCGAGUUGUAAUUUGCAGAGGAUGCUUUUGGCGAGGCGCCGCCCGAGUUCCCUGGAACGGGACGCCACAGAGGGUGAGAGCCCCGUCUGGCUGGCCGCCGAGCCUCUGUAUAGCUCCUUCGAC
rnacentral:rRNA from 1 species